AUGAACGCUAGCGAUAGGCCUAACACAUGCAAGUCGAGGGGCAGCACAAGGAGCAAUCUGAGGUGGCGACCGGCGCACGGGUGAGUAACACGUAUGCAACCUGCCUGUAAGCGGGGAAUAACCCGUUGAAAGACGGACUAAUACCGCAUAAUACUAAAUUACUGCAUGGUAAUUUAUUUAAACAUUUAUGGCUUACAGAUGGGCAUGCGCAUGAUUAGCUAGUUGGAGAGGUAACGGCUCCCCAAGGCAACGAUCAUUAGGGGUUCUGAGAGGAAGGUCCCCCACACUGGUACUGAGACACGGACCAGACUCCUACGGGAGGCAGCAGUGAGGAAUAUUGGUCAAUGGACGAGAGUCUGAACCAGCCAAGUCGCGUGCAGGAAGAAUGUCCUAUGGAUUGUAAACUGCUUUUGCAGGGGAAUAAAGUGCAUCACGUGUGAUGUUUUGUAUGUACUCUGCGAAUAAGGAUCGGCUAACUCCGUGCCAGCAGCUGC
rnacentral:rRNA from 1 species